AUUGAACGCUGUCGGCAGGCCUAACACAUGCAAGUCGAGCGGAGCGGCGGGCGGGUGCGUAAUGCCCACGAAUCUGCCUGGUAGUGGGGGAUAACAUUGGGAAACGGGCGCUAAUACCGCAUACUAUCAGAUGAGACUAGGUCGGAUGAGCUAGUUGGAUGGGUAAAGGCCUACAAAGGGGACGAUCCGUAACUGGUCUGAGAGGUUGAUAAGUCAAACUGGAAAGGAGACAGGGGCCAGAAUCCUACGGGAGGCAGCAGUGGGGAAUAUUGGAGAAUGGGUGAAAGGCUGAGGCAGCCAUGCCGCGUGUGUGAAGAAGGUCGUCGGAUUGUAAAGGACGUUAAGUUGGGAGGCGGUACCAACAGAAUAAGCACCGGCGAACUACGUGCCAGCAGCCGCGGUAAUAC
rnacentral:rRNA from 1 species